GAUGAACGCUGGCGGCGUGCCUAAUACAUGCAAGUCGAGCGAACAGACGAGGAGCUUGCUCCUCUGACGUUAGCGGCGGACGGGUGAGUAACACGUGGAUAACCUACCUAUAAGACUGGGAUAACUUCGGGAAACCGGAGCUAAUACCGGAUAAUAUAUUGAACCGCAUGGUUCAAUAGUGAAAGACGGUUUUGCUGUCACUUAUAGAUGGAUCCGCGCCGCAUUAGCUAGUUGGUAAGGUAACGGCUUACCAAGGCGACGAUGCGUAGCCGACCUGAGAGGGUGAUCGGCCACACUAGAACUGAGACACGGACCAGACUCCUACGGGAGGCAGCAGUAGGGAAUCUGCCGCAAUGGGCGAAAGCCUGACGGAGCAACGCCGCGUGAGUGAUGAAGGUCUUCGGAUCGUAAAACUCUGUUAUUAGGGAAGAACAAAUGUGUAAGUAACUAUGCACGUCUUGACGGUACCUAAUCAGAAAGCCACGGCUAACUACGUG
rnacentral:rRNA from 1 species